CCCUCCGGUCCUUAUUAUAAGGAACAGUUUGACAAAAACACACAGACCAAGGAAACCUAUUUUUUUUAUUAAAAAUUCUAAAAUGUUAUGUUUAAUUCCAAAAAUAACCUUGGUCUUAAUUGAUUGUUGUCUCUUGUAAUUAUCAAUAUACUAAACCACUAUUCUUAAUUCCAAUGUAACUCCUCCUAUACAAGGUGGUAGACCAUUUAUGUGACUCUUU
rnacentral:lncRNA from 1 species